GACGAACGCUGGCGGCGUGCCUAAUACAUGCAAGUAGAACGCUGAAGGAGGAGCUUGCUUCUCUGGAUGAGUUGCGAACGGGUGAGUAACGCGUAGGCAACCUGCCUGGUAGCGGGGGAUAACUAUUGGAAACGAUAGCUAAUACCGCAUAAGAGUAGAUGUUGCAUGACAUUUGCUUAAAAGGUGCAAUUGCAUCACUACCAGAUGGACCUGCGUUGUAUUAGCUAGUUGGUGAGGUAACGGCACACCAAGGCAACGAUACAUAGCCGACCUGAGAGGGGGGUCGGCCACACUGGGACUGAGACACGGCCCAGACUCCUACAGGAGGCAGCAAUAGGGAAACUUCGGCAAUGGGCGGAAGUCUGACCGCGCAGCGCCGCGUGAGUGAAGAAGGUCUUCGGGUCGUAAAGCUCUGUUGUAAGAGAAGAACGAGUGUGAGGGUGGAAAGUUGACACUGUGACGGUACCUUACGAAAAAGGGACGGCUAACUACGUG
rnacentral:rRNA from 1 species